CCUACGGGAGGCUGCAGUCGAGAAUCAUUCACAAUGGGGGAAACUCUGAUGGUGCGACGCCGCGUGGGGGAAUGAAGGUCUUCGGAUUGUAAACCCCUGUUAUGUGGGAGCAAAUUAAAAAGAUAGUAUCACAAGAGGAAGAGACGGCUAACUCUGUGCCAGUAGCCGCGGUAAUACAGAGGUCUCAAGCGUUGUUCGGAAUCACUGGGCGUAAAGCGUGCGUAGGCUGUUUCGUAAGUCGUGUGUGAAAGGUGCGGGCUCAACCCGCGGACGGCACAUGAUACUGCGAGACUAGAGUAAUGGAGGGGGAGCCGGAAUUCUCGGUGUAGCAGUGAAAUGCGUAGAGAUC
rnacentral:rRNA from 1 species